ACGAGUUGCUUUGCUUUGGAAGUCCCACUGUGCAACUUACGUCCCAGCAUGUGUGGUUUUGUACCAUGUGACCGGAUGAUGAAAAGGGCCUAUUGGUCCCCACGCCCUGGAAAGAGUCAAGACUUUGAAUUUCUUUUCAAAGAUUGUCGGAACCGGGAGGCUCGAAAGUUAAGAGAAGAAGACGUUUUGAAGAACUGUGCAAUCUUCUUUUAGAGGCUGAAAGCCCGGUUUCAUACAACAAGCUCAAGGAAGAGUCAGAGAAUAUCGUACGUAUUUUGAACGGGCUUGUAUAGCUCUUAGACGUGACGUGUGUAAAUAAAGUAUUGCAUUGCAUUGCAUUGCAUUGCAUUGCAUUACAAUGUAUUGUAUUGUGUUGUAUUGCGCUGAAGAGGACAACGAUCGAAAGUAUUUACACAGGGGUCAAAUAGUGGCACAAAAGAAGAAACUAUAUAUUUCGAGCAUCUCUACCGUUGCUAAGUACAUGUACUUAAAAAAUGAAACCAGCAUGCACUUUCAUUAUCCAUGGCCACUCGCAAAGAUGACUGGGCCAAUCACAGAGCAGCAAGACUAGGAGUCGUUUCGUGUUUUCUUACACGAGGGUUACCCAGUGAUCUUUGCGAGUGUAGUUCGUCUGCGCCAUUUUGGCACGUGUGCAAGAAAAAUAAUGGAAAAUGAGGUGGAAUGUGGAGACGUGUUUGUUAACCUCUGAGGCCUGUCCAUGUCCCUGGACGAAUUUACAUGCCCGGGGUAGAUGUAAGCUGAGGCUUGGUACCAAUAUUUUCUGGGACAGUGCAUUCAUGUUUUUGGCCUAUAUUUGGAUGAAUUAUUGGUUCAUUAGUUAAAGUGACUUUAUUGAGUUAUGGAUGCAUGUUGGAGUUUGAAGAGGACAAGAUCUAGGAAGGGAUGAGAUUUUAACAGAAAACCAAAUGGUUCAUGGCUUUUACAGUUAGUGUGUAGUGCUUAGUUAUCCAGGAAAACAGGUUACAGUACCGAUCAGAAGAAACCUAACAGGGAACGCGUUUGCGAACGGGAACGGAACGGAUACAGAACAGGUAUGAGAACGCGAACAGAAUGGGUACAGAACGGGUACAGAACGGAUACAGAACGGAUACAAAACGGAUACAGAAUGGAUACUGAACAGAAAUGGAAUGGAUACCGAACGGAAAUGGAACGGAUACGGAACGGUUAUGAAUCACAAAAAUGGAAAAAAGCGUUCUCCAGAACGCAAACUAUAUGAGAACGCGUUCUUCAGAACACUUGGUAGUAAGUUACGCUAUCAGAGUGCUUACCGAGGAUUUGGAAAUGAUGUAACUUUAAAUACACGUUCGUUCAAUUUUUGUCCAGCCCGGCGAUCUUGAGAAAAUGACAGAACUAAUCAUCUUAUAUCUUUUUUUAUUUGUUUUUACAUGCACUAAGCAGGCAUCUUCCCUGCAUCUUCUCAUCCAUUUCGAGUUCAUCGCGGCCAUUUUGUUAUUGUCAACAAGCUCAACUUAUGUCCAAAUAAGGAAAUGGAUGGACGAGUCGAGUUAGACUGGGAUUG